CUUGCUCCGCUGACGACCGGCGCACGGGUGCGCAACGCGUAUGCAAUCUACCUCUUACUAAGGGAUAGCCCAGAGAAAUUUGGAUUAAUAUCUUAUGUGAUAUUAGACUGGCAUCGGUUUAAUAUUAAAGGUUACGGUAAGAGAUGAGCAUGCGUCUCAUUAGUUAGUUGGUAAGGUAACGGCUUACCAAGACUUCGAUGAGUAGGGGUCCUGAGAGGGAGAUCCCCCACACUGGUACUGAGACACGGACCAGACUCCUACGGGAGGCAGCAGUGAGGAAUAUUGGACAAUGGACGGAAGUCUGAUCCAGCCAUGCCGCGUGUAGGAAGACUGCCCUAUGGGUUGUAAACUACUUUUAUACAGGAAGAAUAAGAUCUACGUGUAGAUUGAUGACGGUACUGUAAGAAUAAGGACCGGCUAACUCCGUGCCAGCAGCCGCGGUAAUACGGAGGGUCCGAGCGUUAUCCGGAAUUAUUGGGUUUAAAGGGUCCGUAGGCGGGCUGUUAAGUCAGAGGUGAAAUGCUGCGGCUCAACCGUAUGCACUGCCUUUGAUACUGGCGGUCUUGAGUUAUAGUGAAGUGGCUAGAAUAAGUAGUGUAGCGGUGAAAUGCAUAGAUAUUACUUAGAAUACCGAUUGCGAAGGCAGGUCACUAACUAUACACUGACGCUGAUGGACGAAAGCGUGGGUAGCGAACAGGAUUAGAUACCCUGGUAGUCCACGCCGUAAACGAUGGAUACUAGCUGUUCGGUUUUCGGACUGAGCGGCCAAGCGAAAGUGAUAAGUAUCCCACCUGGGGAGUACGUUCGCAAGAAUGAAACUCAAAGGAAUUGACGGGGGCCCGCACAAGCGGUGGAGCAUGUGGUUUAAUUCGAUGAUACGCGAGGAACCUUACCAGGGCUUAAAUGUAGAUUGACAGGUUUAGAGAUAGACUUUUCUUCGGACAAUUUACAAGGUGCUGCAUGGUUGUCGUCAGCUCGUGCCGUGAGGUGUCAGGUUAAGUCCUAUAACGAGCGCAACCCCUGUCGUUAGUUGCCAGCAUGUCAUGAUGGGGACUCUAACGAGACUGCCGGUGCAAACCGUGAGGAAGGUGGGGAUGACGUCAAAUCAUCACGGCCCUUACGUCCUGGGCCACACACGUGCUACAAUGGUCGGUACAGAGAGCAGCC
rnacentral:rRNA from 1 species